CCUACGGGAGGCAGCAGUGGGGGAUAUUGCACAAUGGGGGGAACCCUGAUGCAGCGACGCCGCGUGGGUGACGAAGCCCCUCGGCGCGUAAAGCCCUUUUAGCAGGGAAGAAAAUGACGGUACCUGUGGAAGAAGCCCGGGCUGAAUACGUGCCCGCCGCCGCGGUACUACGUAGGGGGCACGCGUUAACCGGAUGUACUGGGUGUAACGGGGGCGCAGUGGGGGAUGCAAUCCAGGAGUGAAAGCCCGGGGACCAAACCCGGGACUGCGGUUGAAACGGCGUGGCUGGAGUGCAGGAGGGGCAGGCGGAAUGCCUGGUGUAGCGGUGAAAUGCGUAGAUAUCAGGAAGAACACCGGUGGCGAAGGCGGCGUGCUGGCCUGCAACUGACGUUGAGGCACGAAAGCGUGGGGAGCAAACAGGAUUAGAUACCCUAGUAGUC
rnacentral:rRNA from 1 species